rnacentral:rRNA from 1 species
AACGAACGCUGGCGGCAUGCCUAACACAUGCAAGUCGAACGCCUGUAGCAAUACAGGAGUGGCAGACGGGUGCAUAACACGUGGGAACCUACCCUUGGGUUCGGAAUAACCGCGGGAAACUGCGGCUAAUACCGGAUACGUCCUCUGGGAGAAAGAUUCAUCGCCCUUGGAGGGGCCCGCGUCGGAUUAGCUAGUUGGUGAGGUAACGGCUCACCAAGGCGACGAUCCGUAGCUGAUCUGAGAGGAUGAUCAGCCACACUGGAACUGAGACACGGUCCAGACUCCUACGGGAGGCAGCAGUGGGGAAUAUUGGACAAUGGCGCAAGCCUGAUCCAGCAAUGCCGCGUGGGUGAUGAAGGCCUUCGGGUUGU